UACGUAGGGCGCAAGCGUUGUCCGGAUUUAUUGGGCGUAAAGAGCUCGUAGGCGGUUUGUCGCGUCUGCUGUGAAAACCCGAGGCUCAACCUCGGGCCUGCAGUGGGUACGGGCAGACUAGAGUGUGGUAGGGGAGAUCGGAAUUCCUGGUGUAGCGGUGGAAUGCGCAGAUAUCAGGAGGAACACCAAUGGCGAAGGCAGAUCUCUGGGCCACAACUGACGCUGAGGAGCGAAAGCGUGGGGAGCGAACAGG
rnacentral:rRNA from 1 species